CUAUCUGCCGUGGGCGUUGGAGAUUUGAGAGGAGCUGCUCCUAGUACGAGAGGACCGGAGUGGACGAACCUCUGGUGUUCCGGUUGUCACGCCAGUGGCACUGCCGGGUAGCUACGUUCGGACGGGAUAACCGCUGAAAGCAUCUAAGCGGGAAGCCUCCCUCAAGAUGAGAUCUCCCUGGGCACUUGAUGCCCCUAAAGGGCCGUGGAAGACCACCACGUUGAUAGGCGGGAUGUGGACGCGCUGUGAGGCGUGAAGCUAACCCGUACUAAUUGCCCGUGCGGCUUGACCAUAUAACGCCAAAGCGGUCAC
rnacentral:rRNA from 1 species